CUGUAAAAGUCAUUGCCUGGGUGUGUUUCACUGCGUGGGCAUUUUUAUGGCAUUUAAAUGACGAGUGCCGGCUUUUAUUGCUCAGUUUUUUCCCCAAAUAUGUUUCCAAUUCGUCUCGUAUCUCCUUAACACGGGGAACCCCUUGUUUUUGUUCAUAUAUUUGUCUAAAGGAGGAGGAAAGUGAGAGGUAGCGAGAAAGGGAGCCAAUGCAGCAGGAAGGCAGGGCUCUGGUCCCCGCGGGUGGGAUGCAGGAGGAUGCUAGCCCAGAUCUGAGUCCUCGGGGCAGGGGACAGAUAACCGCCUUCCCUGCUCCCAGCUCCUGGCUUUCCUUUCCCCGGGCCGUCCCUGAAAAGAGCCCAGGAGGAAAGAGGCGCUUUAGAUUGGUUCUCAAGAGCAAACACGAAACCAAACUUAGCCCGCUUGCCCGUCUUUGCCUCGACUCCCAGAGACUAGGGCGCGGGCAAAUGCGAGCCGCCCUGUCCCUCCCGGGCCUGCUGACCGCGAGCUCGUCGCGCUGGCUCCAGCCAAAUGCACCGUGCGUUUCCUGCUCGUCAGGUGCUGAGGUUCCUAGGAAACAGGAACCCACAGGGGAGGAGAAACAGAAGAUGAUUUAGGAACCACACAGCCCCAACCACACAAUUCUCAACCUGAGGCCCUUGAAGCCUUUAUCAAAAUGGCACCUGUAGCUACCUCCCUGGGAUAUUGACAGCACUUCCAGGAAUAGUUAGUCAUAACUGAUCUAUCAGGAGCAGGGUUGGUGUUUAAUCUGAUUCUCCCUUUGGAGAGGGUGGGCAUGCCUUGUGGAGAGAGCAGGGAAUAAUUUCUGACUAGGAUUCAAGCUCUGUGGGCUGCCCCCCAGAGGGUGGGUGAGGAUGUGCUCCUCUCUGCUAGCCUAUAAAAGGGAACCAAAAGGCUUGCUUCUUACAUCUUUUCUCUUGGGCUUUUCUUUCUUCUGGAGUGCAGGGAGAAGGGGUUUCUCCCUCUCUUUUCAAUCUCCAUCCCUAUCUUCUAAUGUCCCUCUAUCUAUCUAGACCCACAGUCCAGAAGGCUGAGAAGAGGGUUUCUGAGUAUGUGGGAAAUGACAGCAAAUGGGUACUUGUCCACUUGCCCCAUGGAGGGAAGACAAUGGACAAUGUUCCUGGAUUCCAACCUCCUCCUGUGUCCAGGAGGGAAGGAAUUCAAUUUCCUAAUUAGAAUGAUCUGAGAACCUAGCUUUGUGGCCAAAAAAGGUAGAUUGCUUAGGUAGUCCCACUUUUAGGAUUGUCUCAUGGGUAACUCCAAGUUCAGAAGUUCUGGAAUCCAGCCUUCUUUUAUCCAGGAAAGACUGAUUUCCUAAAAGAGAGUCAUCAGAGCAUCUAGCCUUCUAAUCAGAGAAGAGAGACUGAAUCCUUGGGCAGAGCCAGCCAGGAAGGUUGCCUUAAACAACACUCCAAGCCUGAGAAUGUGAAAACCAGAUCUUCUGGAGAGAAGGGGAAUUCCUAGUGUUAUUUUGGGGCAAAGACAAGGGCUGCUGAUGUCAUUUCUGAAGCUGGAAGAAAUACCAAGGUCACAACUAGGGAGGGCAAGGUUGGGAUCUUGCCCAUCCUCUAUAUCAUAUUAGAGUGAGUUAUUUGGACUAUGCAAGUCCAGUAGGAAGGAGAGUUAUUCAUUUACUCUCUAAGAAUGUAUUUCCCUUGACGGAGGAGUUUAAACCGUACACUAGCACUGUAGUCAGAGUCUGAGAGGGACUGUGUAAAAUAGAUAUUUUACCAGAAUGCCAAGUUCAAUCAUUUUCUAGUGUGUUCUCUAUAUUUAUUUAUGGGUCCCUGCAAUUCUAGUAGAAACAAGUUACUUGAGGGCAGGAAUUCUUUCCUUCUGUCUUUGCAUCUCCAGUGUCCAGCACAGUAUAUAGUUAAGUAUUGAUAUGAUGACACAUAUAGGCAGCUAGUGUAAACCUCAAAUUUCCUUAGACUUAUAAUUGUUGAAAAUUUCACCAUUGGGAUAUUUCAUACUUGGAAAAUUUCUUACUGAUAGUCUAUUGGAAUGGGAACUCCAUUGGCAUGGGAGGUUCCUUCUCUUCCCUUCUUAAGAUUACUUUAGGACAGAAACCCUUUGCUGAACAAUGGAAAGGACUUUGACCUAUGCUUAAGCAUAGAACAGGAAUUUCUUUGAGUCUUGAUUGAUUUUAGAAUUGAUACAAUGGAGAUACUUGGAAUAAAUCUCCACCCUAUUCAGUCCUAAUAGGAUUG
ensembl:lncRNA